CUGGCGUGUGUGUGUGUGUGUGUGUGUGUGUGCACGCGCCAAAGCACAUGUCCAUGCACAC
rnacentral:miRNA from 1 species